GAUGAACGCUGGCGGCGUGCCUAAUACAUGCAAGUCGAGCGAACAGACGAGGAGCUUGCUCCUCUAACGUUAGCGGCGGACGGGUGAGUAACACGUGGAUAACCUACCUAUAAGACUGGGAUAACUUCGGGAAACCGGAGCUAAUACCGGAUAAUAUAUUGAACCGCAUGGUUCAAUAGUGAAAGACGGUUUUGCUGUCACUUAUAGAUGGAUCCGCGCCGCAUUAGCUAGUUGGUAAGGUAAUGGCUUACCAAGGCAACGAUGCGUAGCCGACCUGAGAGGGUGAUCGGCCACACUGGAACUGAGACACGGUCCAGACUCCUACGGGAGGCAGCAGUAGGGAAUCUUCCGCAAUGGGCGAAAGCCUGACGGAGCAACGCCGCGUGAGUGAUGAAGGUCUUCGGAUCGUAAAACUCUGUUAUUAGGGAAGAACAAAUGUGUAAGUAACUAUGCACGUCUUGACGGUACCUAAUCAGAAAGCCACGGCUAACUACGUG
rnacentral:rRNA from 1 species